GAUGAACGCUGGCGGCGUGCCUAAUACAUGCAAGUCGAGCGAACAGACGAGGAGCUUGCUCCUCUGACGUUAGCGGCGGACGGGUGAGUAACACGUGGAUAACCUACCUAUAAGACUGGGAUAACUUCGGGAAACCGGAGCUAAUACCGGAUAAUAUAUUGAACCGCAUGGUUCAAUAGUGAAAGACGGUUUUGCUGUCACUUAUAGAUGGAUCCGCGCCGCAUUAGCUAGUUGGUAAGGUAACGGCUUACCAAGGCAACGAUGCGUAGCCGACCUGAGAGGGUGAUCAGCCACACUGGAACUGAGACACGGUCCAGACUCCUACGGGAGGCAGCAGUAGGGAAUCUUCCGCAAUGGGCGAAAGCUUGACGGAGCAACGCCGCGUGAGUGAUGAAGGUCUUCGGAUCGUAAAACUCUGUUAUUAGGGAAGAACAAAUGUGUAAGUAACUGUGCACGUCUUGACGGUACCUAAUCAGAAAGCCACGGCUAACUACGUG
rnacentral:rRNA from 1 species